rfam:Oikopleura dioica, whole genome shotgun assembly, reference scaffold set, scaffold scaffold_156
UUUACGGAGAGUUUGAUUCUGGCUCAGAACGAACGCUGGCGGCGUGUUUAAGACAUGCAAGUCGCACGGUGUCAUUUAUGUAGCAAUACUUGGAUGGCACAGUGGCGCACGGGUGAGUAACACGUGAAUGACAUGCCCUUGAGUGGGGAAUAGCCCAGGGAAACUUGGAUUAAUACCCCAUGGCAUCGCGAGAUUAAAGGCGGCCGCAAGGCUGUCGCUCAAGGAUUGGUUCGCGUUCUAUCAGCUUGUUGGCGGGGUAACGGCCCACCAAGGCUACGACGGAUACCUGGUCUGAGAGGACGAUCAGGCACACUGGAACUGAGACACGGUCCAGACACCUACGGGUGGCAGCAGUCGAGAAUAAUUCACAAUGGGGGCAACCCUGAUGGUGCAACGCCGCGUGGAGGAUGACGGUCUUCGGAUUGUAAACUCCUGUCAUCNNNNNNNNNUGUUAAACUCCUGUCAUCCGGGAGUAAGACCUGGGAGUUAAUAGCUCACAGGGUUGAUAGUACCGGAAGAGGAAGGGACGGCUAACUUCGUGCCAGCAGCCGCGGUAAUACGAAGGUCCCGAGCGUUGUUCGGAAUCACUGGGCGUAAAGGGAGCGUAGGCGGCGUGGUAAGUCAGACGUGAAAUCCCGGGGCUCAACCCCGGAACUGCGUCCGAUACUGCCAUGCUUUGAGGGUUGGAGAGGUAGCUGGAAUUCUUGGUGUAGCAGUGAAAUGCGUGGAUAUCAAGAGGAACACUCGUGGCGAAAGCGAGCUACUGGACAACACCUGACGCUGAGGCUCGAAGGCCAGGGGAGCGAAAGGGAUUAGAUACCCCUGUAGUCCUGGCAGUAAACGGUGCACGCUUGGUGUGAGGGGAUUCGACCCCCCUCGUGCCGGAGCAAACGCGUUAAGCGUGCCGCCUGGGAAGUACGGUCGCAAGACUAAAACUCAAAGAAAUUGACGGGGACCCGCACAAGCGGUGGAGUAUGUGGCUUAAUUCGAUGCAACGCGAAGAACCUUACCUGGGCUUGACAUGGAUUUCUAAGCACGUGAAAGCGUGUGACCCUUCGGGGAACUUCCACAGGUGCUGCAUGGCCGUCGUCAGCUCGUGUCGUGAGAUGUUGGGUUAAGUCCCGCAACGAGCGCAACCCUUGUGAUCAGUUGCCAGCGCGUCAUGGCGGGAACUCUGGUCAGACUGCCCAGAUCAACUGGGAGGAAGGUGGGGACGACGUCAGGUCAGUAUGGCCCUUACGCCCAGGGCUGCACACGUACUACAAUGCCCAGUACAAUGAGAACCGAUGCCGCGAGGUGGAGGAAAUCUGUAAAACUGGGCCCAGUUCGGAUUGGAGGCUGCAACUCGCCUCCAUGAAGUUGGAAUCGCUAGUAAUGGCGCAUCAUCUACGGCGCCGUGAAUACGUUCCCGGGUCUUGUACACACCGCCCGUCACAUCAUGGAAGCCGGUUUCACCCGAAGUGCCUGUAUCAACCGCAAGGAGACAGGGCCCUAAGGUGUGGCUGGUAACUGGGAUGAAGUCGUAACAAGGUAGCCGUAGGGGAACCUGCGGCUGGAUCACCUCCUUU